CAGGGAUUAGCUUAGUCUGGUCAAAAGGGCCGCACCUGGAAUGCGGAGAUCGGAGGUUCAAAUCCUCCAUCCCUGACCA
rnacentral:tRNA from 1 species